AUCUACCUGUGCUGUCCAGUUGAAACGUUGCUUGGGCACCACCACAUGCCCCCGUCUGCUGACGGGCACACGGACCGGUCGAGAUGGUCUGUGGGCACGGGACAACACUGAGUGGACGGCUACCCUGCGAGCACUCUGUGCUUUGGGUUGUUCUCCGACGAUGGUGCUUGGUAUAUACUGACUCGUUGCUGAGCAAAGUAAAAGCCUGAGGUUUGGCUGCGAAGCAAUCGAGUUGGUGGCGGACCGCCUUGCUGGUUGGUUUGCUGUACCGUCGUUGGACGAGCACGCUCGUUGGGUAACCCAACGGCUGUGCUGGUGUCUGUGCGUCGUUGAGCGGUUGUUGUGCCUGGCACAUGUGACACACUGGCCUGGGAAAGUGGUUCUUUCCUGGCCUUACGAACCGUAACUAGCGGUGUGUCUGUGCCUGUGUGCUACGUCCGUGGCCGUGAUGAGACGACGUGGUAGGGCCCGUGCUAUGCUUCUGCACGUGGCUUAAGACUCAAUGAGUGUCCGCUAGGCACCGCCAGUGUUUUUUUUCAUUUAUUUUUUUGACCACUUCUUUGUUGAAGAAAGAAAUUCUAGUCUUAUCGGUGGAUCACUCGGCUCGUGGAUCGAUGAAGAACGCAGCCAACUGCGAUAAUUAGUGCGAACUGCAGAAACCUUGAACACAAAACUUUCGAAUGCACAUUGCGCCAUUGGAGUUACAUCCAUUGGCACGCCUGGUUCAGGGUCGUUAUCAUAAAAGGCACUGCUGUGCCUGUUAUGUUGGUGAGAUCAUGUCGGCAUGACGUGUUCUUGCGCUAUUCUUGAAAAUGCUCGGCCGUGGAGUGUGGUUGUGUUGGCGCGAAACUGUCAGGUUCUUUCGCGUUUUACGGUCCGUAACUAGGACGCAACUGCUCGCCAUGUGUGCUGGGGUGGAAUGCUUCGCUGGUAGGCAUUCCGUGUUUGAAUUUUCGACCUGAACUCAGACGUGAGUAC
rnacentral:rRNA from 1 species